CCUACGGGUGGCAGCAGUGAGGAAUAUUGGUCAAUGGGCGAGAGCCUGAACCAGCCAAGUCGCGUGAAGGAUGACGGCCCUACGGGUUGUAAACUUCUUUUGUCAGGGAGCAAUUGGGUCCACGCGUGGGCUUAGCGAGAGUACCUGAAGAAAAAGCAUCGGCUAACUCCGUGCCAGCAGCCGCGGUAAUACGGAGGAUGCGAGCGUUAUCCGGAUUUAUUGGGUUUAAAGGGUGCGUAGGCGGGCUGUUAAGUCAGCGGUCAAAUGUCGGGGCUCAACCCCGGCCUGCCGUUGAAACUGGCGGCCUCGAGUGGGCGAGAAGUAUGCGGAAUGCGUGGUGUAGCGGUGAAAUGCAUAGAUAUCACGCAGAACUCCGAUUGCGAAGGCAGCAUACCGGCGCCCUACUGACGCUGAGGCACGAAAGCGUGGGUAUCGAACAGGAUUAGAUACCCUAGUGGUC
rnacentral:rRNA from 1 species